rnacentral:rRNA from 1 species
GACGAACGCUGGCGGCGCGCUUAACACAUGCAAGUCGAGCGAAGCGGCGGAAGGGUGAGUAAUACGUGAGUAACCUGCCUUAGACAUUGGGAUAGCCUCGGGAAACCGGGAAUAAUACAAAAUGGUCUAAGAUGGACUCGCGUCCCAUUAGAUAGUUGGUGAGGUAAUGGCCCACCAAGGCGACGAUGGGUAGCCGGCCAUUGAGGAUGAACGGCCACAUUGGAACUGAGAAACGGUCCAAACUCUACGGGAUGCAGCAGUGGUGAAUAUUGCACAAUGGAGGGAACUCUGAUGCAGCUACGCCGCGUGAACGAAGAAGGCUUUCGAGUCGUAAAGUUCUUUUAUAUGGGAAGCGGUACCAUAAGAAAAAGCCCCGGCUAACUACGUGCCAGCAGCCGCGGUAAUAC